AAUGACGGUACCGGAAGAAUAAGCCCCGGCUAACUUCGUGCCAGCAGCCGCGGUAAUACGAAGGGUGCAAGCGUUAUUCGGAUUUACUGGGCGUAAAGCGCGCGCAGGCGGAUUAGUAAGUCAGAUGUGAAAUCUCGGGGCUCAACCCCGAAACUGCGUCUGAAACUACUAAUCUAGAGUUAUGGAGGGGGAAGUGGAAUUUCGCAUGUAGGGGUAAAAUCCGUAGAGAUGCGAAGGAACACCAGAGGCGAAGGCGACUUCCUGGCCAUUAACUGACGCUGAGGCGCGAAAGCGUGGGGAGCGAACAGGAUUAGAUACCCUGGUAGUCCACGCCGUAAACGAUGAGUGCUAAGUGU
rnacentral:rRNA from 1 species